GCUAAAAAGCUCUUGAACUUUCCACAACUUCUAGUAUUUUCUUUUCUUUUGUUUCUAGGGCAAAGGGAGAGAAACAGGAAAGGUAAAGAGCUCUAGAAAGAAGAGAAAGGGUGUGAGUGUCGAUACCCAAAGCCGAUGGAGGUGUAGGCGGGGGUUUGAGAGGUAAAUAACGAGGGAUUGUGGAAUGUAGGGGAGUAGAUGAAUGAAGAGGUGUGGGUGACGAGGAGAAUGAGAGGGGUUUAGAGAGUGUAUGUAACAGAACAGGGGGAGGGGAGGGGAGGGGAAGGGAAAGUGAGUGAAUGCGGGGUUUCCAUUUAUUAUUUUGUUGUUCUCAAAGUAAAUUCUAUGAAUAGGUGAAAUUGGAAGAUGAGUCGAAGUAUGGCGGCGGCGGCGGGGCUUUUGUGGUGAGGGGUGUGUAGGUCGUCACUCAAACAUCGAGGCCGACGAUUAGGGGUGGAGGCGGAGAGGGAAACGGAGUCGGUUUUGAAGAUCCGGGCAACCGCGGAGCUACAUUUUUUGGUUGGCUCUCUGAUCAUUAAUUUGGAUUAUGCAACACAACUGCAAAAUACAUUAAUUCCCUAAAUAUCAGCUGCAGAGGUUUCGAGCUUUUCUUUAAACCUCCAAACAACUUCGAACUGUUGUAUGAUGACGGUUGAGCACAAUUCUUUAUGCAUCCGUUAAAGAUCUUGAAGAGAUAGUUCAAAAGAUCAAUGCUCGUGAGAAAGCAGGACGUCGUGAGUUCAAGAAAGAGGAGAGAAUAUAUCAUCCCUCACAAAUAACUCCAGGGAGCAGAUCCAACGACAAGCAAGCUUUCUCAACCAUUGAACGUACUCCCCAAAAAAUGGGUAUGUGUCAAACUUUUUCUCAGAUCAAAAUUUAAACAAUGGCUUUGAAACUCGGACCCUCCCAUCAUCUCAUUUUCUAUCUUUCCUCUUCCUCUCAAAUUAUCAGACUUCUCUCUCUCCCUCUCUCAUCCCCUCCUUAGUUUGAACUUUGACGAAUGAAGAUUGCCAAUGCCUUGAUUGCUGAUUCACUGAUGUGGGAAAUCUACUCCACAAUCAAGUUUCGCGGACGUAAGAUCUCUAAUUUUCCCCUUUUAUUCAGCUUCUUGAAUUCGAGAGUUCUCAUAAAUCUGAUUCACUUUGGGGCUAUAUACAUGGUAGUACUAUUUAGGCUUUCUGGUACGCUCUGCAGCAUCUACAGGUAUCUGAUUUAUGUCGUUCACUUCAUUUGAUUGUAAGUUUCUCUCCAAAGCAUUCAUCAUUUAUUUGAUUCCAUCUAUAAAGAUUCCUUCACAUAUCUAUCAAGUUUCCACAACAUAAGGUCUGUUUAAAGUGUACAACACUAAGCACUUUAGGGUGUUUUUAUGUCACUAUGAUAAAUUUAAAUGGUCGUUGUUACAGAUAACAAUCCUUCAUCAGUCGGUUUUACACAAAAAAAAAAAAAAAUCUACUACGAUACAUCAGUCAUGUUAUCAAUGCAGAAUUUGUAGCAGUAAUCCAUAUGCUGGUGGUGGUUUUUGUUUUUUGAGUUUGGUAAACAUUAGACUUUAAAUAGAUGCAUCAAUUCAUUCAUGUAAUUGGUGUAACUAGUUUCAUCAAGGCAUAGCCUAGCAUGCUAUUACCGGUAUGAGUUUUAGUGUGGAUUUUUUUAUUUAUAAAAGUGCAUCUUGGGUUAGUUUUGUGACUUUCGUGAUUAACAUCAUCUAGGAGAGCCCCAAUUCCAUAAUUCCAUAAUAGAGAUAAGUAGCUUUAUCAAUUUGUGUUGCAAUUUGGGUAGCAACUAGCUAGUGACUUACCAAUAAAGGAAUAAUGUGUUUAUUCUCAUCCUUUUCUUUUUUAAUUCCAACUUGACUUGACUUUUCUUCAUAGCUUGGAGUCCACGUUUUUGCAAGGCCUGGAAUUAUUCCAGCUUCUACAGUACUUUUGCUUUAGCCACAUUUUUUGUUUUAGGGCCUUCUUGCGUGGGCCGUGCCUUUAUGUAUGGGAUCUCCAUACGCUUAAUUGCUGCGUAUGACCUAUUAUGGUUCCUAAUUGUUGUCUUUAUUUGAACCUUAUUACGGUUGCCUUCAAUGAAGCUUAUUUUUAAUAGAUAAAAGGUAGUUCGAAUAAGGAACAGGUUGUGUACAUAGUGUUUGAUUCAAAUUUAAAACAUCUCUCUCCCUCUCAAACCUCUUCUUCGCAAGGCGUCUCAACCCAACCAUGAUGCAAUUGCAGGAGAGAGUAGUUGUUAUAGUGGGUAUUUUACUCUUUUGUGCAAUAUCUUGGCUUGAUAGGUAUAUGGGUGGUGUAUGCGGUUUAAACAAAGCAUUGUGACCAAGGAUAAUUUGAGGCUGUAAAGAAAUAAUGUUUAGUUAUUGUUGUUUGUAUUCAUUUGAAUGCAGGGGAAGCAUUUGGACAAGUUGAAAUUCUUUUGAAUAGGUGAUUUAGCACUAGCAAGUUCUUUUUGCUUUAAAAUAGGUAGGCUUUGCAGAAAAUUAAAACUCGUAUCAGCAGUCUUAUGACUCUUAUCUUAAAAUUUGGUUUUGAUUCUUUCAAAAAAACCAUGUUCAAAAUCUAAUCGUAGACUUCUAUUGCUUGAUACGUUAGUAGCAUUGAUUUAAUGUACAAGUUUUUUCAUUGUAUUUCUCAUCAUUUCUUUGAUAAAUUUUCAAAGGCCAUGAUCAAAAUUAAUUAACUAUUGUGCCAUUAGCCAUAAUUGAUGCAUUCGAUAUUUUCAAGAUUUAAUUAUGCAAGAUAAGUUUAAGGUUUGAUGCUUAUUUUCAUCUCCCAAAUAUCUAGGGGAAUGAAUUAGUGUGGACACCAAGUCUUCUGACUUGCUGUAGCCUGGUUUUGGUACCAAGGAAGUGGCUAAAGCAUUAGUUUUUGUUUGUCAUUUGUUAGUUCAGGCAUGUGGGAGUCUGGGAUGCUUUCUCCAUUUUAGAUCCUAGCGGAAUUGGCUUCGAUGAGGCAUAUUUGACAAACUCAUUUCAAAACAUCAUAUGUUUAUGCAACCCCAUCCCAUUUGGAAAGAAGACUGAUGUCUUGGUUUCAUUUUUGUAGGUGUGACUUAGAUGUUUUUGUUUGGCAUAACUGUAUUAUGGGGAUUUUGUUUUUAUGCAUUUGUGGUACAUUGUGACAGCUUCAGAAUGAUGGACCCACCAAGCGGGAUGUCUCAUAUGUAGUCAAUGCUUCGAGUGCAAUGGAUAAGGUAUUUCAUAGGUUCAUGUAUGGUACUAUAGUAAUCCAUAUUUUAUUUUAUCGUGCUGAUAUAUCUAUUUUUGUAGACUAGUGAAGGCUGUUGCAAAGAAAUUUUACGUUCUUACAUGUCAAGGCACUAUUGUGGAGAUCUUGAUGGUGCCUAUGAGGUGAUUGAGAAAAAUUGUGCAGGGUCUAUGAGCGUCAAAGUUGCAAAAUCUGCAUUGCGGAAUAUGCUUCCUUUCCCCCUGUACAAAAAGAUACACUGUAGUUAUAUUGAAGCCUGAAGCAAGGUUCUCUUCAUGAUGAAAAUAGCAACUGAGAGAAUUGUUGGUGGUUGUUGAUACUUGGUCUCAGGACUUAUAGAGACGGCAUUAUAUCUUGGGGUCUUCUUUCAUUUGCCUGUGUCUUUUGGGCAUCUGUGUUAGACAAUACGUGAACAUGUUUGUACUAAAGUAAAUUCUUGGAUGAACUCGGCAUGCCAACGAUGUCGCUUAUUGUGCUGGUAACAGGAAAGAUGGUGUUCACUGUGAUUAUUGAUCAUAUGAAACAAGGUUUAAGUGAACAUAUUGCUAAUUGGAUUCGUCACAGAUUCUCUGUCUGACAAUGUAGAACAUGACUAACUGGGCAGGCCUGUAUGGUGGCUUAUGUCUGUAGCUGACGCAUUGGGUGUUUGUGAUUUACUCGAAUGAUAGUCGAUGGUGCUUUGGAUCUUU